GCCUUCGGGAACAUUGAGACACNGUGCUGCUUGGCUGUCGUCAGACUCGUGUCGUGAGAUGUUGGGUUAAGUCCCGGUAACGGAGGCGGCAACCCUUGGUUCCGUUAGUUUACCAGCACGUUAUGGUGGGCACUCUAAGGAGACUGCCGGUGACAAACCGGAGGAAGGUGGGGAUGACGUCAAGUCAUCAUGGCCCUUACGGCCUGGGCUACACACGUGCUACAAUGGUCGGUACAAAGGGUUGCCAAGCCGCGAGGUGGAGCUAAUCCCAUAAAACCGAUCGUAGUCCGGAUCGCAGUCUGCAACUCGACUGCGUGAAGUCGGAAUCGCUAGUAAUCGCGAAUCAAAUGUCGCGGUGAAUACGGUUCCCGGGUCUUG
rnacentral:rRNA from 1 species